rnacentral:rRNA from 1 species
UGGGGAAUAUUGCGCAAUGGGCGAAAGCCUGACGCAGCGACGCCGCGUGAGGGAUGAAGGUUUUCGGAUCGUAGACCUCUGUCAGAAGGGAAGAAACCGCACUGUGCUAAUCAGCAGUGCCUUGACGGUACCUUCAAAGGAAGCACCGGCUAACUCCGUGCCAGCAGCCGCGGUAAUACGGAGGGUGCAAGCGUUAAUCGGAAUUACUGGGCGUAAAGCGCACGUAGGCUGCUUUGUAAGUCAGGGGUGAAAUCCCACGGCUCAACCGUGGAACUGCCUUUGAUACUGCUUAGCUUGAAUCCGGGAGAGGGUGGCGGAAUUCCAGGUGUAGGAGUGAAAUCCGUAGAUAUCUGGAGGAACAUCAGUGGCGAAGGCGGCCACCUGGACCGGUAUUGACGCUGAGGUGCGAAAGCGUGGGGAGCAAACAGG